GUGUGACUGGGCAUGACAGUUACAGUGCUGUGCAGUAGCCUCCAAACUCAGGACUGUUGGCCCUGAGAAGGUAAUCUCAGUCUGUGAGAGUAAGAAGACCCAAUUACUCCCCAUUUAGCUGCAAAGUGGCUCUGGCUCUGGUUAGUAUGUGCAUGGAGGGAGCACCUGGCCAUCUCUCAGACUUGGAAAAGGAGAAUCUCAUGGCACUGGAGAUGUUGGAGGAUUCCCCGCUCAUUUGGAAUGUUAUUCUGAUGCUGCCUGUUGCCCUGGUUAUGUUCCCAAGAGAACACCAGAAAGAGUGUUCAUCUGGACUUCACACAGAGCUACCUCAGGCUUCACAGCACCCUUGCAUCCUCAGCUACAAUGACUGGGAGUCAGUGCAGAUACUAGAGAAAUCUUCAGUUUGUGUUCAUUCCAAAAUUGGUUCCUCUGCACAUCCCACUCCAAGCUAAAUGCUGAAGCUCAUUGGAUGUUCUUGCCUCCUUGUUGAUUUCUUGACCAAAAUCAGCAAAUACUUCUAUUUGUUUUCUUGUUGAGAGUUUUUGUUCUUUGAAAUGAAUAAUUAAAAAUAAAAUGUCAGAAACACCCUAUACUUCCCUACUU
rnacentral:lncRNA from 1 species